rnacentral:rRNA from 1 species
GACGAACGCUGGCGGCGUGCUUAACACAUGCAAGUCGAGCGGAAAGGCCCUUCGGGGUACUCGAGCGGCGAACGGGUGAGUAACACGUGAGUAACCGGCCCCAGACCUUGGGAUAACCCUCGGAAACGGGGGCUAAUACCGGAAACGACACAGCUUCGCAUGGGCUCUGUGUGGAAAGUUUUUCGGUUGGGGAUGGGUCCGCGGCCUAUCAGCUUGUUGGUGGGGUGCUGGCCUACCAAGGCGACGACGGGUAGCCGGCCUGUGAGGGCGACCGGCCACACUGGGACUGAGACACGGACCAGAAUCCUACGGGAGGCAGCAGUGGGGAAUAUUGCACAAUGGGCGGAAGCCUGAUGCGGCGACGCCGCGUGAGGGAUGACGGCCUUCGGGUUGUAAACCUCUUUCAGCGGGGACGAAGCGUAAGUGACGGUACCUGCAGAAGAAGCGCCGGCCAACUACGUG